rnacentral:rRNA from 1 species
UACGUAGGGGGCAAGCGUUGUCCGGAUUUAUUGGGCGUAAAGAGCGUGUAGGCGGCUUGGUAGGUCCGCUGUGAAAACUCGAGGCUCAACCUCGAGAUGUCGGCGGAAACCACUUGGCUAGAGUCCGGAAGAGGAGAGUGGAAUUCCUGGUGUAGCGGUGAAAUGCGCAGAUAUCGGGAAGAACACCCGUGGCUAAGGCGGCUCUCUAGUACGGUACUGACGCUGAGACGCGAAAGCGUGGGGAGCGAACAGG